GUACCCGCUGAACUUAAGCAUAUCAAUAAGCGGAGGAAAAGAAACCAACAGGGAUUGCCCUAGUAACGGCGAGUGAAGCGGCAACAGCUCAAAUUUGAAAUCUGGCGUCUUUGGCGUCCGAGUUGUAAUUUGCAGAGGGCGCUUUGGCAUUGGCAGCGGUCCAAGUUCCUUGGAACAGGACGUCACAGAGGGUGAGAAUCCCGUACGUGGUCGCUAGCCUUUACCGUGUAAAGCCCCUUCGACGAGUCGAGUUGUUUGGGAAUGCAGCUCUAAAUGGGAGGUAAAUUUCUUCUAAAGCUAAAUACUGGCCAGAGACCGAUAGCGCACAAGUAGAGUGAUCGAAAGAUGAAAAGCACUUUGGAAAGAGAGUUAAAAAGCACGUGAAAUUGUUGAAAGGGAAGCGCUUGCAGCCAGACUUGCCUGUAGUUGCUCAUCCAGGUUUCUACCUGGUGCACUCUUCUAUAGGCAGGCCAGCAUCAGUUUGGGCGGUUGGAUAAGGGUCUCUGUCAUGUACCUCUCUUCGGGGAGAACUUAUAGGGGAGACGACAUGCAACCAGCCUGGACUGAGGUCCGCGCAUCUGCUAGGAUGCUGGCGUAAUGGCUGUAAGCGGCCCGUCUUGAAACACGGACCAAGGAGUCUAACAUCUAUGCGAGUGUUUGGGUGUCAAGCCCGAGCGCGUAAUGAAAGUGAACGGAGGUGGGAACCUUUCGGGGUGCACCAUCGACCGAUCCUGAUGUCUUCGGAUGGAUUUGAGUAAGAGCAUAGCUGUUGGGACCCGAAAGAUGGUGAACUAUGCUUGAAUAGGGUGAAGCCAGAGGAAACUCUGGUGGAGGCUCGCAGCGGGUUCUGACGUGCAAAUCGAUCGUCAAAUUUGGGCAUAGGGGCGAAAGACUAAUCGAACUAUCU
rnacentral:rRNA from 1 species